GGAGGGGGCAAACGUUUGUUUCGGAAUUACUGGGCGUAAAGGGCGCGUAGGCGGACAAUCAAGUCAGAGGUGAAAGCCCUGGGCUCAACCUGGGAACUGCCUUUGAAACUGAUGGUCUAGAGUCCGAGAGGGGAUGGCGGAAUUCCCAGUGUAGAGGUGAAAUUCGUAGAUAUUGGGAAGAACACCAGUGGCGAAGGCGGCCAUCUGGCUCGGUACUGACGCUGAGGCGCGAAAGCGUGGGGAGCAAACAGGAUUAGAUACCCUGGUAGUCCACGCCGUAAACGAUGUGUGCUAGCCCGUUGGGAAACCCUAGUUUCUCAGUGGCGCAGCUAACGCAUUAAGCACACCGCCUGGGGGAGUACGGUCGCAAGAUUA
rnacentral:rRNA from 1 species